UACGUAGGGGGCAAGCGUUGUCCGGAAUUAUUGGGCGUAAAGAGCGUGUAGGCGGCCAGAUAAGUCCGCUGUGAAAUCUCGAGGCUCAACUUCGAGCUGUCGGUGGAAACUAUCUGGCUAGAGUCCGGAAGAGGAGAAUGGAAUUCCUGGUGUAGCGGUGAAAUGCGCAGAUAUCAGGAAGAACACCCGUGGCGAAGGCGGUUCUCUGGGACGGUACUGACGCUGAGGCACGAAGGCCAGGGGAGCAAACGGG
rnacentral:rRNA from 1 species